rnacentral:rRNA from 1 species
CUACGGGUGGCACCAGUCGAGAAUAUUCGACAAUGGACGAAAGUCUGAUCGAGCGACGCCGCGUGCAGGAUGAAGGCCUUCGGGUUGUAAACUGCGGUAGCUGUGGAGGAACGCAAGUGACUGUACACAGCGGAAAGAGGUGGGUAACUACGUGCCAGCACCAGCGGUAAUACGUAGACCUCAAGCGUUAUCCGGAUUUAUUGGGCGUAAAGAGCAUGUAGGAGGUUGUGCGCGUUUCAUGUUAAAUCCCACCGCCUAACGGUGGACCUGCAUGGAAUACGGCACGGCUAGAGGGGGUUAGAGGUGAACAGAACGCACGGUGUAGGGGUGAAAUCCGUUGAUAUCGUGCGGAAUACCAAAGGCGAAGGCAGUUCACUGGGACCUUCCUGACUCUGAGAUGCGAAAGCGUGGGGAGCAAAAAGGAUUAGAUACCCUGGUAGUC